rnacentral:rRNA from 1 species
GUCGACGAGUUCUCGUUGAUGAUCGGUGCUUGCACCGAGAUUCAACACAGAACGAGUGGCGGACGGGUGAGUAACACGUGGGUAACCUGCCCUUAAGUGGGGGAUAACAUUUGGAAACAGAUGCUAAUACCGCAUAGAUCCAAGAACCGCAUGGUUCUUGGCUGAAAGAUGGCGUAAGCUAUCGCUUUUGGAUGGACCCGCGGCGUAUUAGCUAGUUGGUGAGGUAAUGGCUCACCAAGGCGAUGAUACGUAGCCGAACUGAGAGGUUGAUCGGCCACAUUGGGACUGAGACACGGCCCAAACUCCUACGGGAGGCAGCAGUAGGGAAUCUUCCACAAUGGACGCAAGUCUGAUGGAGCAACGCCGCGUGAGUGAAGAAGGCUUUCGGGUCGUAAAACUCUGUUGUUGGAGAAGAAUGGUCGGCAGAGUAACUGUUGUCGGCGUGACGGUAUCCAACCAGAAAGCCACGGCUAACUACGUGCCAGCAGCCGCGGUAAUACGUAGGUGGCAAGCGUUAUCCGGAUUUAUUGGGCGUAAAGCGAGCGCAGGCGGUUUUUUAAGUCUGAUGUGAAAGCCCUCGGCUUAACCGAGGAAGCGCAUCGGAAACUGGGAAACUUGAGUGCAGAAGAGGACAGUGGAACUCCAUGUGUAGCGGUGAAAUGCGUAGAUAUAUGGAAGAACACCAGUGGCGAAGGCGGCUGUCUGGUCUGUAACUGACGCUGAGGCUCGAAAGCAUGGGUAGCGAACAGGAUUAGAUACCCUGGUAGUCCAUGCCGUAAACGAUGAAUGCUAGGUGUUGGAGGGUUUCCGCCCUUCAGUGCCGCAGCUAACGCAUUAAGCAUUCCGCCUGGGGAGUACGACCGCAAGGU